rnacentral:snRNA from 1 species
AGCUUUGUGCAGUGGCAGUAUCAUAGCCGAUGAGGUUUAUCCGAGGUGUGAUUAUUGCUAAUUAAGAAUGAAGCAUUUAUGUGGAUUAGUUUCCUUGGUCUCUGAGGAUAUUCCUAGAAAUAUAAUUCUGUC